GACGAACGCUGGCGGCGUGCCUAAUACAUGCAAGUCGAACGCAGUGGGGACUGGUGAGUAACCCGUGGGUAACCUCCCAUCAGAGGGGAUAACACUUGGAAACAGGUGCUAAACCGAUAUCGAUGGAUGGACCCGCGGUGCAUUAGCCAGUUGGUGAGGUAACGGCUCACCUAGGCGACGAUCCCUAGCUUGUCUGAGAGGAUGAUCAGCCACACUGGGAGUGAGACACGGCCCAGACUCCGACGGGAGGCGGCGGUGGUGAAUAUUGCGCAAUGGGCGCAAGCCUGAUGCGGCCAUGCCGCGUGUAUGAAGAAGGCCUUAGGGGUGUAAGGUACUUUCAGCGGGGAGGAGUUACCCGCAGAAGAAGCACCGGCUAACUCCGUGCCAGCAGCCGCGGUAAUUC
rnacentral:rRNA from 1 species